UCUGAUUAGUUCCUUGUCUUCUUUGUCCCACGUGCUUCUGAUGCUCCACAGAGAGCAGGCUGGGAGAGCAGAAACAUGAGCAAUAGGCAAUGUGCAUCCCAGCAGUCACAGACUCUAAACUUCCAGCCUGGGGCCCGCAGUCUGACCUCAGGUCAGGGAAUGAUCGACAGAAGGCCUUCGGGACAACCAGUUCAUCCCCACAAAUUGGUGUCU
rnacentral:lncRNA from 1 species